rnacentral:rRNA from 1 species
UACGAAGGGUGCAACCGUUGCUCGGAAUUAUUGGGCGUAAAGCGCGCGUAGGCGGCUUUGUAAGUCAGAGGUGAAAGCCUGGAGCUCAACUCCAGAACUGCCUUUGAAACUACAUGGCUAGAAUCAUGGAGAGGUUAGUGGAAUUCCGAGUGUAGAGGUGAAAUUCGUAGAUAUUCGGAAGAACACCAGUGGCGAAGGCGACUAACUGGACAUGUAUUGACGCUGAGGUGCGAAAGCGUGGGGAGCAAACAGG